AGAGUUUGAUCCUGGCUCAGGAUGAACGCUGGCGACGUGGCUAAGGCAUGCAAGUCGAACGAUUAACUUCGGUGAAGAGUGGCAGACGGGUGAGUAACACAUUAGCAAUCUACCUCCAACUCAGGAAUAAUUUCGAGAAAUCGAAACUAAUACCUGAUAGUUCCCAACAUCAUAAGAUUGUUGGGAUAAAGUUCCGGCGGUUGGAGAGGGGCUUAUGGCUGAUUAGUUUGUUGGUAAGGUAAUGGCUUACCAAGACUAUGAUCAGUAGCGGGCGUGAGAGCGCGACCCGCCUCACGGGGACUGAAACACUGCCCUGACUCCUACGGGAGGCUGCAGUCACGAAUCUUCCACAAUGGCCUAACGGCUGAUGGAGCAAUGUCGCGUGCAUGAUGAAGCCCUUCGGGGUGUAAAGUGCUUUUAUAAGGGAAUAACUUUGAAGGUACCUUAAGAAUAAGGGGCUGCUAAACUCGUGCCAGCAGCAGCGGUAAUACGAGUGCCCCGAGCGUUAUCCGGAAUUAUUGGGCGUAAAGCGUCCGCAGGUUGUUAUUUAAGUUUUGCUUCAAAUCUUGAUGCUCAACAUUAAGGCUGGGCAAAAAACUGAAUAACUAGAGGAUGGGAGAGGUCAGUGGAAUGGCUGGUGUAGGGGUUAAAUCCGUUAAUAUCAGCUGGAACACCAAAAGCGAAGGCAGCUGACUAGAACAUACCUGACACUCAUGGACGAAAGCGUGGGUAGCGAACGGAAUUAGAUACCCCGGUAGUCCACGCCGUAAACGAUGGAUACUAGACAUUGGCAGUAUCGACCCUGUCAGUGUCGCUUCUAAAAAAGCUAACGCAUUAAGUAUCCCGCCUGGGGAGUACGGCCGCAAGGCUAAAACUCAAAGGAAUAGACGGGGACCCGCACAAGCGGUGGAUCACGCGGUUUAAUUCGAUUCUAAGCGGAGAACCUCACCAAGGCUUGACAUCUGACCUAUGUCUUUCUGGAAACAGAAAUUCUUAGUGGUCAUGACAGGUGCUGCAUGGUUGCCGUCAGCAUGUGAUGUGAAUUGCACCCUUAAUUGGGGUAACAUGCGCAACCCCUAUGCUGUGUUAAAUGUACACAGCAGACUGCCAGAGUUAAUCUGGAGGAAGGUGGGGAUGACGUCAAAUCAGCAUGGCUCUUACGCCUUGGGCAACACGCAUGAUACAAUGGCAGUAUAAAGGGCUGCCAACCCGCGAGGGGGAGCUAAUCCCAAAAACUGGUCCCAGUUCGGAUUGGAGUCUGCAACUCGACUCCAUGAAGUCGGAAUCGCUAGUAAAUGUGUAUCAGCUAUGGCACAUUGAAUACGUUCUCGGGUCUUGUACUCACUGCCCGUCACACCAAGGGAGUCGGUAAUACCCAAACUUCGGCGUUCGUCGGAGAAAGGUAGGAUCGGCAACAGGGGUGAAGUCGUAACAAGGCA
rnacentral:rRNA from 1 species